rnacentral:tRNA from 1 species
UUGGAUUGCAACCCCAAAAACGCCCCAAUUCGGUGCCGGGGCUUCUCCCGUUU